rnacentral:lncRNA from 1 species
GAGCGGCGCGGGGGCGCCCCCCUCGGCCGGGCGCUCGGGUUUCAGCCGCCGCUCCCCCGCGCCCCGCCCGCGCCUGGCCCGCUCGCCGGCGCCGGGAGAGACCUCGUAACGGAACUGGGACGCCAGCGCUGCAUUGUGGGAGCUUUUAAAGCGGCGGGGAGCUCGGCGCGACCCUCGGGCCCACCGGGCCACGCUCGCCCGGCCCGCGACGCCCCCCCGCUGUCGCCUGGCCCGCGACGCACCGAGGCCUGAGGACCCGAAAGCCGGGCGCGGGGAGAUGACCGGUGGCUCGUGACGGUCCCACGGGCAAAAUCUUCCAUCGCCCGGGGCUGAGACUUGUCAAACUGCCCUCUACGGUCACCCGGAAAGUAGGAGGCUUUUUCUGCAGAGGGAAAAAAAUCAAAAAGAGCCGUUCCAUCCCCCCUCCAAGGACUGGGUUUGAAUUGCUUUUCAUCUGCAGUGGCUGUGAUUCAGCGUCCCUCUUAGCAGCAGGCACUGACAGAGGCAGGAGAGGAAAAAAGAAAGAAAGAAAGAGAAAACACAGCAAAUGAAUCAAACGGACCAGGUAGCAGGCAAGAGUGUGGUUAUCGUUGGACCAGGAUUCAGGAUCUGACCGAGUAGCUGACUCUUAAUCCAGUUUGUGUUGAUCACCAGGAGGAUCUGGACCUCAGUGUUAUCACAUCUAAAGGAAAGGAGCCUAACUAGAGUCAGUGAUAUGCCAACUCCACCUUUGCCUUCCACCAUGUUUGGAAGCUCCCUGAGGCCUCACCAGGAGCAGAUGCUCGUCCCAUGCUUCCUAUAAGCCUGCAGAACUGUGAGCCAUAAUAAACUGUGAAUUAUAAAUUGCCUUUAUAGCAAUGCAAAUGGACCAGUACAGAUGGGAUGCUGGGAAGACAGUUGUUCCACCUUCAGUAAAGUCCAUGGAACACAGUUGUGACUAUAUUCUAGGCCAGCCAAGAUGCUUGUACUCAGAAAGGAGUGAUCUCAGGACCAUAAGAAAGUGAAAAAAUAAAAAUAAGAAAACAAAGAAGGGAUUGUCAAUGAAUCAGAAUUCAUCAAGGUCAAAGUCUUAGGAAAUUCCUUCAUGAGGAAGUCUAGGGGGGCUAUGGAAAUGAAAAUUUUUAAACAAAUAGGUCAAGGAAGCUUUUCCUGAUCCACUAAGGACAAUCAAACCCUUCAUGAUCUAGAAUCUGGAGACUGUGUCUUCUGGGAAUAGUAUCAGAGAAAGACUGCCCUUACUGCCCACAUGUAGCAAAACUUUGAGACGUUGAAUUAUGGGUCCAUAAUCUCACAACUCAGAGGGGCACCUCUAGACUCUUGGAACUGCAUAUCUAUUGGAGACUUUAAGGUAAAGCUGAACAGAGACGUUUUUCUCCAGAAGCAGACAGCACCAUAGUCAUGGACAGCUUUCCCAAGAUCACAGAUCAAGACUUCUGUGCCGUCAUGAGACUCAUACCUCUUAAUUUUUUCUUGCUUAUGCUUCUGUGAACAAUAGAAUUGGAAAAGGGGUGGUCCCGCGUGCACCCAUAGGGUAUACUUUUAUUUGUGGAGGAUUUUGCUGCCAACCUUAUACAUGGGCAAACUUAUGCCUUCAUGGAUGGAAGAUAAAGGGCUAAUAUGGGUUAGAAAUUUUAAUGGUACCUUUGUUUCUCCAUAAUCAUUCAGAAACAGAACACUGGUCCACUCUUGUUAACCUACAUCAUAGGUUGAAGAGAACAUUGCCAGGAGGUCUUCAUCCUUCCAGAUGGGCACCAUUUGUUGGGUCUUUUUCCAUGGUAUGAAGAAAAUGAAGCAAUGAUUAGAAAUUGGUCCCUCGGCCGGGCACAAUGGCUCAUGCCUGUAAUCCCAUCACUUUGGCAGGCCGACGCGGGUGGAUCACCUGAGGUCAGGAGUUUGAGACCAGCCUGACCAAUGUGGUGAAACCCCAUCUCUACUAAAAAUACAAAAAUUAGCUGGGUGUGAUGGUGCACACCUGUAAUCCAGCUACUCGGGAGGCUGAGACAGGAGAAUUGCUUGAACCUGGGAGGCAGAGGUUGCAGUGAGCCAAGAUCACCCCACUGCAUUCCAGGUUGGGCAACAGAGCAAGACUCUGUCUCAAAAAAAAAAGAAGAAAGAAAGAAAUUGAUCCCUCAUAAUAGGCUGUAUAGCAGAUUCUACUGCAAAGGCUAUGGUUGCACAACAGCCUUCUUUGAAUUUGCUUGCUAAACUUUUACUGGAUAAUAGAAUUGCCUCCAAAAGUGCUGGGAUUACAGGUGUGAGCCACUGUGCCCAGCCUCUCCUGUUUAAUUGUAUUCAUUCUAAUGUUUACUUACUUCUUUAAUUUGUAAAAUUGGGUCACUUAGAGUUUUUUAGCCUAUCUUACCAUUUAGCCACUAUUACUGAUAAUUUGGAUGGAAAAGAAAAAUAAAUUAUAUCACCUCUCAUCUUCAGUGUAUAUAUGUGUUAGCUUAGUAAAUAUAGUAUUCUUUCUCGUUCCUAAUGAAAAUGUAGUUUACAUACUGAAACACUGCAAACUUUUAUAAAUAUUGUGAUGUAUUUGACCAAUACAAAGGAUCUUUUUAGAAACAGCAAACAGUUCUCAGAUUAUAGGAAUUACUCAUUUAAUGAUAGUUUCUUCUUAAAAAAAAAAAGAAAAAUGUUUAGUUACCAAAUCAUAAACAACCCCUUAAAAGACACUCAGAUAAUCUCAUGGGUCAGGAAGAUGAUGAUCAGUAUAUUUGGUUAAUAAAAUAUAGCAUAGAAAGCAUAAACCAUAAAUGGAAAAUAUAACAGAUUGUACCAAAGAGAAUACAUUGAAAUACAUUAAGAAAUCGGAUUUAAACUAUGAUUGGAUCCUUCUUUAGGUGGAAGUUAUUUGAGAGAAUAAUUCCAUGAAAAUUAAAAAGUCAUGAUUCUUUCAUUGUAGGCUAGAAAAAUGGAUUUAGUCAGCUGAGAUUAAGUAUGGGGGACUCUACAAGAACCUAUGCUAGGAUAAGAAUAUUGGAGGAAAAACAGUGGAUGAGGUACCAGAUGUUAUGGCAUUCCAUCUUUGUAAAUAUAUGCAAUAAAAUCUGGUCUAUCUAGCUUUCUUUCAACCUAAAUGCCACUCACCGAUCUCACUACAUUUCUGCAGUACUGUAAUUGAGGUUUAUAAUGAUGACCCUGACAUGACUUGUGAAUCAUAGCAGAAGAUUAAAUUAUGUUCUGCUUUUUCCUUCAUGUAUUUAAUUAUAUUUAUAUUAGUUGCAAACUGGAAAUCUGAUCUGUUUUAAAACCCUGCUAGAUUAACCAGAGCCUCUUUAUCAGGGACCCAACCAUCCUUAAUAGCAGAGUUUAUAGUUCAUGGGGGGGAAAAAAAAGCACCCAGGAACUGAUUUUAAAAUGUGACAUUUGUACUUUCAUAGCAAGAAUAAUUAUUACAAGAUAAUUU